rnacentral:rRNA from 1 species
CGUAGGGUGCGAGCGUUAAUCGGAAUUACUGGGCGUAAAGUGUGCGCAGGCGGUUAUAUAAGACAGAUGUGAAAUCCCCGGGCUCAACCUGGGAACUGCAUUUGUGACUGUAUAGCUAGAGUACGGCAGAGGGGGAUGGAAUUCCGCGUGUAGCAGUGAAAUGCGUAGAUAUGCGGAGGAACACCGAUGGCGAAGGCAAUCCCCUGGGCCUGUACUGACGCUCAUGCACGAAAGCGUGGGGAGCAAACAGGAUUAGAUACCCUGGUAGUCCACGCCCUAAACGAUGUCAACUGGUUGUUGGGUCUUCACUGACUCGGUAACGAAGCUAACGCGUGAAGUUGACCGCCUGGGGAGUACGGCCGCAAGGUUG